rnacentral:snRNA from 1 species
ACUCUUUUCAGUAGCAGCAUUCACUAAAAUGGGAUUGACAAAGAUUAGCACGGGCCCUGGGUAAGGAUGACACACAAAUUCCUGAAGCGUUCCAUUUUUUA